CAUAAGCAAUAUGUGCGGUGCCAUCGGCCCAUUACACCUUCUUGAAGCUGAUGGCAGUCACAUAAACUAUUCUCAGUUCUUGCAAGCUCUAGCUCAGUUGGGCUUAAGCGGUCACUCUGAAGAUUGUAUAGGUACCAAAGACAUAAAAGAAUUAUGGGAACAGAUAGAUACAGAUGGGGAUGGUGUGAUUGAUAUAUCAGACUUUUCUGUAUGUCCAUCUCCCUUUUGUUAUGUUCCUACUCUGUUGAGUUUUUUCUUUGUUGUUUUUCUUCUUCGACUUAUUUCUUGAUGCCUUAUGGUCCAUUUGAUUAGCAAGAGAAUGAGAGAAUGGGAUGGAAAGAGAUAAAUAUAUCUACUUCUGAUGUGUUUGAAUUAGGAAGAGAUUGAGAGCGAGUGCAAGAAACUAAACUUUCCUGUACAACUUAUGCAUCUGGACUUUUUUUUCUCUGCAUAAAA